UCUAGCCGCCGAAUUAUUUUUGCGAACAUUCGUGAACAUUUUGAGGACUUCAUCCCUAAAUCUUUCACAAGUUAGGGUUUUGAUUUGUCGUUUGCGCUACAAUUUGUAAAUGGACGUCGAUGUGGCCCGUUGGAUUUUCGAGUUCCUCCUCCGGCAACCGGUGGACGACCGCACGCUGAACGCUCUACUUCGUGUUCUGCCACUGUCGAACGCGAAUUCGAGUUUGAAGAAGGCAAUGCUACUGCGAAGAAUCGAGUCGGAGAUUGCAAAGCGCUCGGUUUCAGAGAAAAUUCUCACGCUAUUGGAACACAUCGAGCAGUUGGAGUACGAAGAGGGGGUUGGGGUUUCGGAGGCAAUGAAAGGGGCGUAUUGCGCUGCUGCCGUGGAUUGCACAGUGAGAUUUCUGGAUGAGAGCGAGGGCAAGGGCAAGGGCAGGAAGUAUUCUGAUGCGGUGAAAAGGAUAUGGAGAGAUAGGGUGUGGAAGAUGGAGAAGUCGGAGAAGGUGGGAUUAGUUUCGGAGGGAUUGUUGAGUUGGAAGGACGAGGUUGAGGCGGCGGUCGUGGAUGCCAGUGUUGGUGCAAAUGCGCAACUAAGGAAUAGGGUGAAUGACGCGUUGGAGGAUGUACAAGCCUAUGUUGCAGAAGCGUGGGAGAGUUUGGGUCCGCCGUUUCUUGAAAUGGUGACGGAGAAAGCGAUUGACCAUACAAUGACGGAAGAGUUGGGACGUGGCAAUGACCAAAUGCGGGAUCCAGUCGGAGAGAAAGCACCUUCUUUGCCGGAUUCACGGCAGGAUUUGACUGCCACUAGCGUCAUUAGUGAAAUGCAGAAGGGUAUUUUGCUGCCUAGGCGAAACCAUGUUGCUGGAAGACGCUCUAGAAGAGUGAUUUCUGGGACGUCUAGAAGAGUGAAGAUCUUUGACGAGGAUUUGGAUGCAAGGGCAUCAUCCAACAAUUAUGGCUUCCUGCCUACCCCUGAAAUUGAUAAAGUACGUCAAGCACUUAGAACCAGUUCUUUGGAGUUACAAGAAGUGGUGAAAGAUCCUCUUCCUGAUGCACUGCAAUUUGCUGGAAAAGUAAUGUCUUGCAUAGAGAGGGAAGUAGGACAGAAUAAGGUAGGUGUAGAUUCAUCCAGUCCUUCAGUUGGCAGGAGUGCUGAACAGGCAAAGGCCAAUGAUCCUAAUAUAGGUAACCAAUGUGCCGGUGUCCAGAAUAUUACACCUAAACCCAGCCUAAUGGCGCAGAAUAGUACUGCCCUCACUCAUGAGUGGGAUGAUUCUGCUGAAAUGUUAGCUGAAGUUUCACCUGAGAGCAGUGGUAGACUUCAUUUGCCUACCUCAAAGACAAGGGUUGUUUCUCCAUUGAAGAAGUAUGAAAUUACAAAAUUUGCAAGGAGGAGAAGAAAAAAUAGGUGGAGUAUACUUGAAGAAGACACUUUGAGAACUGGUGUGCAGAAGUAUGGUAAAGGGAACUGGAAGUUGAUCUUGAAUUCAUAUCGUGACAUAUUUGAGGAGAGAACUGAGGGUGAUUUGAAGGACAAAUGGAGAAACAUGACAAGAUAAUGAUUGAAAUGUAGUCUGCAGUUGCUUCUGUUGAGAGAGAUUGGUUGCUUCUGUUUGAAGGGACUGAACUCUUCGCUCAAGUUCUGCUAUAUAGCGAGCCUUCCUCUCCUUCGAACGCGCAGCGGACUGCCUAUUUGCCAAAAUCCUGAAUUUCUCACAGCUAAACAUGUCAGCAGAGCUCCCUAAGAUAAUUGAUGUCAAAGGGUGAUGACAGCGCCGGCCACAACGUUGUCGGCACCAUCAUGAUCCAUCAAGUACCCGCCGCAGCCGCCGUCCCCAGUCGUCAGCUUCUGGAUGUCGAGGAAUGCGGAGACGAAAUCAUCCUCCGAACCCAUCUCCCCCAGGCUUCCCUGUAGAAAGCAGCCGUCCGAGUUUGCACGCCGGUGGUGGGGGUUGAACCCCAUUAUCACAAAGGCCCUAGCCGCAGAGAGCGACGGCGACUCGAGGGUGGAAGCAUUCUGAGAAGAAGCAUUAUUAGAAGCCGUAUUAUUAUUGUUAUAGUUAUCGUAAGGGUUGGGGCUUGGUUGGCCUUGCAUUUCGACAGGGAAAUGCGUGGAUUUACAUGCUAUUUUCUUUGAGACCCAAACGAAUGGGGUUCAAAGAGAGAAAAAAGAAAGAAGUUUGGCUUGCUGUUUCUUUCGUUGUGGGUUCAACAUGGCAGAGAAAUGGUGCGCAAAGGUGGUUGCCGGGCCGCACCUGGCCGCGGCGCAGGGCGGCAAUGCGGUUCUGGGGGGAGGAAUUGUUGCGGAGACGCCAAAAGCUUGGGGCCGUUUCAGCCGACAACCGUCGAAUCUGGGUGGUUUGAAGGAUUGUGUCCGUAUGGCACUUGCCGUCGAACAUAAGGGACCGUGUAGGGAUAUUGUUUGUUUCUAAAUAAAGAAACUCGAAGAAGAGAACGUAAAGAGGGUACCUAAAACCUACGUUUGAAUCUUUUGACUUUUUUUCUCUAUUGGGAGAUUAUGCUCAUUUAUUU